rnacentral:rRNA from 1 species
CCUACGGGGGGCAGCAGUGGGGAAUAUUGGACAAUGGGCGAAAGCCUGAUCCAACCAUGCCGCGUGUGUGAAGAAGGCCUUCGGGUUGUAAAGCACUUUCAGUGGGGAAGAAAGCCUUGGGGCUAAUACCCUCGAGGAAGGACAUCACCCACAGAAGAAGCACCGGCUAACUCCGUGCCAGCAGCCGCGGUAAUACGGAGGGUGCGAGCGUUAAUCGGAAUUACUAGGCGUAAAGCGCGCGUAGGCGGUCUGAUAAGCCGGUUGUGAAAGCCCCGGGCUCAACCUGGGAACGGCAUCCGGAACUGUCAGGCUAGAGUGCAGGAGAGGAAGGUAGAAUUCCCGGUGUAGCGGUGAAAUGCGUAGAGAUCGGGAGGAAUACCAGUGGCGAAGGCGGCCUUCUGGACUGACACUGACGCUGAGGUGCGAAAGCGUGGGUAGCAAACAGGAUUAGAUACCCGAGUAGUC